GAAGCUCGCAGUGCUGUGGCCCUUAGGCCUUCCUGGGAAUGUUAAGGAAAGUUUUGAUGUAGAUGCUUGUCCUGCCAUGGCAGGUGCAGUUAUUUUACAGUCUACUCAGUUUGCUAAUUGUUGUCAACUCUCCUUUGACACACACGGUGGCUCCCAGGCUGGUGUGCUCCCACCGUGUGCUGCUCCAUCAGGUGCGGAACAAGAAAGUAGCUGCUGAAGGUGCCAAUUGAGAGCCAGUUUGGUAACCUCUGAGCCAGGAGAGAAUUUAUACCUGAUGAAGGAUGGUCUCACAAGGAGGAUCCCUGGAAAGGGAUAAGGGUUUGUUCCCAAUCUGCAGCCUGACUCUGCAGCAGGUGAAAAGCUUUCCCUGCAGCCACCAAUGAGAACUGGACACCACAGUGAUCUCUGCCCCUGGCAGGC